rnacentral:antisense_RNA from 1 species
UGUGGGAGCUGGCUUGCCAGCGAUGCGGACGACGCGAUAUGUCCUCGUACCGCGGUGAUGCCAUCGCUGGCAAGCCAGCUCCCACA